UGCUCCAGAAGAUCACAAUCCGGAUCCAUGGAGACAUCAGCAGCUUCUGGAUCAAGAACCCUGCAGGGGUCUCCCAGGGCCAGGAGGAAGGCGUGGGUCCUCUAGGUCACACUCGCCGCUUUGGGCAGUUCUGGAUGGUGACCAUGGAUGACCCUCCACAGACAGGAACCUGGGAGAUCCAGGUCACAGCUGAGGACACCCCUGGGGUGAGAGUGCAAGCCCAGACCUCCCUGGACUUCCUCUUCCACUUUGGGAUCCCCAUGGAGGAUGGACCCCACCCUGGCCUCUACCCCCUGACUCAGCCAGUUGCAGGUCUUCAGACCCAGCUGCUGGUAGAAGUGACAGGGUUGGGUUCCAGAGCCAAUCCUGGGGAUCCUCAGCCGCAUUUCUCCCACGUCAUCCUUCGAGGGGUCCCAGAGGGUGCCGAACUAGGCCAGGUGCCCUUGGAGCCCGUGGGACCUCCGGAGCGAGGUCUCCUCACAGCCUCGCUGUUGCCCACGCUGCUGUCCACCCCUAGACCCUUCUCCCUGGAGCUGAUUGGCCAGGACACAGCGGGGCGGCGCCUGCACAGGGCUGCCCCUCAGCCUAGCACUGUAGUCCCUGUCCUUCUGGAGGUGAGACGCUAGGGGCAAGUGCGGCUGGGGCUGGAGAGAGUUAGAGCGGCCCCUUCCCUGACGAACACUUCUCUGCAGCUUAGUGGCCCCUCGGGUUUCUUGGCCCCGGGCAGCAAAGUCCCACUCAGUCUCCGCAUCGCCAGCUUCUCGGGCCCUCAGGAUCUUAACCUUAGGACUUUCGUCAACCCCAGCUUCUCCCUCACCUCCAACCUCUCCAGGGCUCACCUGGAACUGAAUGA
rnacentral:sRNA from 1 species